GCACCAUAGAUUUCUGAUCUUCGCACAAAAAAAUAUCAAUUUCUGGCACAUAACAAAAUGAGCCAUGCCUUUUUAUUUAAAGAUAAAGAUUUUGCAGUUUUACCAUCUGAGAGUAGCAUCUCUGUAGCAGCAGUAAUGUAUUAUAUCAUAAAAUAAUGUUCGGCCAUGUUCUUUAAAAAAAAUUUAAAAUAAUAAUUAUAAUAAAAGCUCAUUUCUUUCUUUGCAGAUCUCAGUCUCAUAUGGUUUAUUUUACAGAUUGAAGUGUUUUCUAUGCUUUGUUAACGUUUAACAAUUCAAUUUUAUGUAGUGCCAAAGAGUUCUUUAAAUUCCGACCUCUGUGCUGUUUUAUUUGUAACUGAAAUAUCUGACUCCCUAUUUUUUUUAGCACCAAGGAGGAAGCAGAAAAAAAUGUUUGUGAAAACACAGACUUUACAAUGUUACUAUUCAUUUCUUCUGAGGUAAAUGAUUGCUUUCAUUUGAAACAGGUUAUUUAAAGAAAAAGGUAAUAAAGGCAAGCAUGACUAUGUGUCACUUUUUAAUAUUACUCGUACUGGGGAAGAAUUUUGGCAGAAGAUUCUGCAGACUAGAUUAGGCAAAUCGACAGUAAACAGCUGUGAAACAUGGAAAAUAGUGAAUCGCAAUUUAAAGAGUAGCACCAAGAGGUAGCAUCAUUUUUUUGCAGAUUGUCAAAGACUGUUUAUAAAAAGAUUACAAUUAUUAUCCUUUCUUGGUAAUUGGCAUUUGAAAAUAAAUACAGACAGUGAACAUCACACAAUUGUCAUCUCAUUUUAUCUUUACUGAAGCUAUUCUCAUACUUUUUUUGCUCUUUAAAUGUGUUAACCGUUUGAUUGCUGGACAGCUCGGUAAAAUCCUACAGUUUGGUGAAAUGUUAGGUCUUCAUACAACCAGUUGUAUUUAGUAACUAUUAGCACACACAAAUGAUUAUCGAAAUAAAACAUACUCAUUUAUGAUACUACAGUCUCACUGCUCAAUUUUCUGCCAUUUAGAAGUUAAAUCACUUUUGUUUUCAUUUAUGCAGCCCUAGCCACACCUCUACUGGCUGUGACUCACAUCCCCCAUGAAAAAAUGGUUUCAUGUUUAAUCAGAUGUUAUAGCACAAUGUGUUUACUUUAGAAGUUAUUAUCACAUGCUCUGUUAAUUAAACUUUAAUCACACACAAUAGGCUGUUGUAGGCUGUAGCAUGCUAUUAACAAAGCAGGAGGUGGAUUUUAAAUAAAACAUUAUGUAAAAACAGAAGUUAAAAAUCAAUGGCUCUUUUUCAGGAUGUGUUUAGGGAGAUUCUGUGAAUAUCAGCCGGGCGGUGUGGCUAGGGCUGCAUAAACAAAGUGAUUUAACUCCUAAAUGGCAGAGAAUUGAACAGUAACACUUCAUGGAUAUGGUCUAUACAGCAUAACCACUUAAUUUAGCUAAAGUUGUUUUGCUACUGAGAGUACCCCUUUAACAUGUCACUUCAUUAUUAUAAAUUGUAAUUAACCUGUAAUUAAUGUAAUUCAUGAAACAAGUUAUUUUUUAAGUCUAACAUACCUAUCACAAUACCACAAUAUUGCAAACUUAUUUAAAUUAUUACACGCACAUCAGAUUUUUAAGGCUCAGCUUCCCAUUCAGUUAUAUGACUGACUACAUUUUACUGGUUAUUAAUUGAACUGGUGGAUAUGAAUUUAACAGACAUGUGCAUACAUUACAAUACUGAUUUAGGCUAGGGAGCUUCCUAAAAUGGUCCAACAUUGACUUAUCGUCCAUCUAUUAAUCGCCACCCCAUCUGAGUUACAGCUAUGAUACUCAGGGCUCUAUAUGUUAAGCAAUGUUUUGUUCUAUGCUGACAUCUGUUUUACAAGGCUUAAAUCAAGAUAGGGAAAAAAAUAUCCAACUAGACUGAGAUUUUCCCCAACUUUCUAUAUAGAUCAACUCUAUUGUCAAUUCACCACGAUUCAUUGUUUAGUGAAAAUGGCUUAUUGUACAUAAAAUGAAAUUUUUACCAACAGCAUCUAUACACACACACAGACUAGUUAACUUUGGAACCCCAUAUUUAUGUGAACUUGUUUUCCCAGCCAGUUUGAGCAUCAUGGGAAAUGUAAUUAUCACACCUCUGGAGCACAGAGGUUAACUAUCACUGAUAUUCACUUUGUAGGACAUCAACUGAUUACUAAUUUUACAAAUAAAACAUCUGCUAAACUGAACUGUGGUCUGCAAACUCUGCAGCUAUCAAGUCCACCUAGUUACACCUUCAAGCACGUUGACAUGGAACCUGCAAAUGGAGCUGAAACAUAGUUUACUUAAGUAAUAUUUGCAGUCUUUCACCUGUAUCACAUAGGUAAAAUGCUACUAAAUGUAGUAUAGAAAUGAACAGAAAUAAAUCUAGAAAUUCAGCUACCAAAUUGAUGAUGUUCAGAUGGAAGCAUUUCUUACAUGGAGAUGUAUCAUAGCUGUAGUUCUAAGACAGCUGGAGAUCUAUUUUUUAACCACUCUUACAAUAAAGGGUCACUCGCAUGGCACAUUGCUGCCCUCUCAUAUAAUAUUAAUCAUGGGUUAAAAAGUAUUAAAAUAGAUUUUGAAUCACUAUAUAUCAGUGAUGGCUAAAAGUGACAACCCCAACCUUGGUGAGUCAUGAUUCGCAGGAUGGUUAACCAGACUCCAGAUUGGUUGUGUACCCUAGGAGAUACUCAGGAACACCCUGUACAAUACAGUGAAUAUCUGGUUUAGUUACCACUGAUAUGGAUCAUAUGCAUCUCAAAUGCUAUUACGCUUAACCCCUUAAGGACACAUGACAUGUGUGACAUGUCAUGAUCCCCUUUUAUUCCAGAAGUUUGGUCCUUAAGGGGUUAAAUUUAGAUCACUUUUACACAGUUAUUUAAAUCAUGUAAUAAUGUCUAUUGAGAGAAAACAAAGCAAAACCAUACAAUGAGAUCAAGCUGUAGUUUUACAAAGAGAGGAUACAGACACUGGUCACUACUGGUCAUACUGAAUAUUAAGCAGUUAAAGGGACACUGUAGUCAUUAUAAUAAUUUCAUUGAAUUGGUUAUGGUGUCUGGAGUCCCCUGGAACAGUUCAUCCAUUUAGUUUUAAACCAUUUUCGAGCAGUUUAACACUAAAUAAUGGCCCUUUGAUCCUGGCCUGUACUGUUUAGGUCUGGUUAGGGCAGAGGUUACAUACUUCCUUCUAACCAUAGCAAUUCGUACCUGCAGUGUGCACUCUCAGCCAAUCACAGUUGCUAAUUGCUGCUCAGGCUAAUGCUUCCUCAUUGGCUCAAGCAAUCAAGUGGUGCUAGGGACUUAGCUUUAAAACAUUGACAAUGCUGUAAUGCUGCAUGGAAGGAUGACACAGGAGACACCAGGCACUAUAACCACUUUAAUGAGAUGUAGCAGUUACAGUGUCAUUCAAAGUAGAAAUAGGAUAAUUUAUAGAUGUGGUAUCAAAGUUUUCGAGUACCAAUUUGCAUUUGUAUCCUGUAAUUAUUGAACUGCUUAAAAACUCAAUAUUUUAUUUCAUGAUACAUGCACCAACAUAAGUUGACAAUCAUAAAUGAAUUGCAUUAAAAUAUUUUAACAGGAUAUGAAAAGGUCAUCCAAAGCAAGCAUUUUUCAACUCUCUCCACCUUUCAGUCAGUUAAUAGUCUGACAUAUAUAUAACGUAGUGUUCGAACACUGGAACAAGUAUAAAAAUGUCUGGUAGGGAAUGAUCUGGGCAUAUAUCAGGACAAAUGUGCAAGCUGUCAUUUGAUACAUAGAUGCCUGGUUUCAAUCAGGCAACUGUAUUUCAUCUAUGUUGGCCUGUUAACUACAUAUGGGCAUAUUUUUCACAUUUAGCAUCAAGUUUGGAAAUCUGUAUCCAAAACUCAACGUGCAGAUUCAUUGCAGAUAACCAAAUGGGAUGGUGAUCCCGAUCAUCUUGGCAGAUUGUAAUCUAAUAUACUUAGAGCACAUAUUAAAAGCUACAUUUUUCUCUCUGGGUAACAUUUUCAUAACGUUUCUAUAGGACUAAGAUACAACGGAUACGGUGUAUUUGUUCAUCUGUUUUAGAGCUUCUAUAUAAUAAAUACAACAAACAUUCUAUAUAUGUUCUUUAUGUACAUUUUUCUCAUCUCUGAACUGCAAUCUACACACAAGAUUGUGUUUUCUCCUUAUUUCAUGUGCAAGCUGUAUAUUCUGUGUGUAAUACUUUGAACUGUUAUCGGAUGCUUUUACAGACAGCGGACUCAAAUUGUACUUUGCUUAAUGGAUGCUUAUACAUUCUUGCAAUUCACUUAUGAUUAUUGAUAGAUCGAUAGAUAGAUCAAUAGAUAGAUCGAUAGAUAGAUAGAUAGAUACAGACAGACAGACAAAUAGAUAGAGACAGUGGAAGAGAGCAUGAGAUGAGAUACAUAACAGUGAACGGUGUACUGUGGGAAAAUAAAUGCCACCAAUGGAUUCUGGAGAUAUCAUGUUAAACCAUAAAACCAGAGGACGAGUGGUUUAUAAAUGUCUCCACAACCCUAGGAAUUUGUUAUUUUCCCAUAAUAGGCAUUUCAUUAUUACUUUUAUUAUAUACCCUUACUUUUAUGUUAUAUCCUAUUUUCAUGUUAGGGUUCGUAUUAAUGAAUUAAGGCAGUGUAGGAUUAAUGUUUAGUGAUGGUGUUAGUGAAGUAGGUAAUAUUUAUUGUAGUGUGUAGGCUAAUGUUUAGUUUAUUUUAGGGGUUUAAGGGGGUACUUAACUGCAAGAUCAGGACUGCGACAUACAUGACCCAAUGUGCUGCCUGAUGGGAUUAGAUGGAGUUACAGUCACAUGAAGCAGCAAUUUCAGGAGUCAUCAGUAAAAUGUCAGCAGAUGCUGCUCUGGAUUAUAACUCUCACUAAUCUGUCUAAGACUAGGUCCCCCCGCUGUAGAGUGAACCAUGGAUGAUUACAUUUUCAUUUGGAUGACAACACAAAUAACACAGAUGUAUACGUAUAGGUUAUAGGUAAUACCUUAGGCAUAUGUAAUCAUGACAAACUGGCAUAUACAUAUACUGUGACACUAAGCCACUUGCCACUCUAUUCUAAGCGAGUUACACUAAUAUGCACAAACAGAAAAAAGGCAUUGUGUAAUUGUGUUGCAUUUGGUGUAGGUCAGACUUAUAGUUAUGAAUAUUUGCCUAACUAAUCUUUUUA
rnacentral:lncRNA from 1 species